rnacentral:rRNA from 1 species
GAUGAACGCUGGCGGCGUGCUUAACACAUGCAAGUCGAACGGAAAGGCCCUGCUUUUGUGGGGUGCUCGAGUGGCGAACGGGUGAGUAACACGUGAGUAACCUGCCCUUGACUUUGGGAUAACUUCAGGAAACUGGGGCUAAUACCGGAUAGGAGCUCCUGCUGCAUGGUGGGGGUUGGAAAGUUUCGGCGGUUGGGGUUGGACUCGCGGCUUAUCAGCUUGUUAGUGGGGUAGUGGCUUACCAAGGCUUUGACGGGUAGCCGGCCUGAGAGGGUGACCGGCCACAUUGGGACUGCGAUACGGCCCAGACUCCUACGGGAGGCAGCAGUGGGGAAUAUUGCACAAUGGGCGGAAGCCUGAUGCAGCAACGCCGCGUGCGGGAUGACGGCCUUCGGGUUGUAAACCGCUUUCGCCUGUGACGAAGCGUGAGUGACGGUAAUGGGUAAAGAAGCACCGGCUAACUACGUG